rnacentral:rRNA from 1 species
UUCUUUUGUUUAUAUAAAAGAUUUGACCUGCCCAAUGAUUUUAUAUUUAAUGGCUGCAGUAUUUUGACUGUACAAAGGUAGCAUAAUCAUUUGUCUUUUAAUUGGAGUCUAGAAUGAAUGGUUUGAUGAAAAAUAUAUUUUCUUUAUUUUAUAAUUAAAAUUUAAUUUUUUAGUCAAAAAGCUAAAAUUUUAUUAUGGGACGAGAAGACCCUAUAGAACUUUAUUUUUGAAUUUAUAUGUUUGAUAUAGUGUAUUUUAAAAUAUAUAGGUGUUUGAAUUUUGUUGGGGUGACAGAAAAAAUAUAAUAACUUUUUCUACUUUUUUCAUUAUUAUUGAAUUUUUGAUCCUUUUUUAGGGAUGGAAGACUAAGUUACCUUAGGGAUAACAGCGUUAUUGUUUUAGAGAGUUCAUAUCGAUAAAAUAGUUUGCGACCUCGAUGUUGGAUUAUAAUAAGAUAUAGGAGUAGAAUAUUAUUUUCUAGGUCUGUUCGACCUUUAAAUUUUUAC